CCCCCUCCCCCCAGGCUGGGUGGGGGUGGGGCUGCGGCGCGGGGCGCCCCCCGCGGCCCCUCUGCUGGGCUGUGCCCAGGCGCUGCUGCUGGAGCAGCUGCUGGGGGAGGGGCUGGGGGCCGGGACCCCCCUGGGCCGCAGCCUGGAGCCCCUCCAGAGGAGACUCCGCAGCUGCCCGCCGGGCGCGGUUCCCUGGGGGGUCCUGGCCGAGACCUCGCGGCUCUUCCGGGACCUUGGCCCCGCCCUCCUGCGAGGGCUGGAGGCCGCCGGCUGGGACACGAAGCGCCCCCUGCUGGCCGUGGACGAGUGGACCCUGGAGUGGGCGGAGCCAGCACAGGCCACGCCCCUUGAGUGAAACCACGCUCCCCCUCACGAGGCCACGCCCACUUUUGGGAUCAAAGGGGCGGGAAUGGCCCCGAAAAAUAAAAAUUUUACGGAA